rnacentral:rRNA from 1 species
CCUACGGGUGGCAGCAGUCGAGAAUCAUUCACAAUGGGGGAAACCCUGAUGGUGCGACGCCGCGUGGGGGAAUGAAGGUUUUCGGAUUGUAACCCCCUGUCUUGUGGGAGCAAAUUAAAAAGAUAGUACCACAAGAGGAAGAGACGGCUAACUCUGUGCCAGCAGCCGCGGUAAUACAGAGGUCCCAAGCCUUGUUCGGAAUCACGGGGCGUAAGGGGUGCGUAGGCUGUUUUGUAAGUCGUAUGUGAAAGGCCCGGGCUUAACCCGCGGACGGCACAUGAUACUGCGAGACUAGAGUAAUGGAGGGGGAACCGGAAUUCUCAGGGUAGCAGUGAAAUGCGUAGAUAUCGAGAGGAACACUCGUGGCGAAGGCGGGUUCCUGGACAUUAACUGACGCUGAGGCACGAAGGCCAGGGGAGCGAAAGGGAUUAGAUACCCCUGUAGUC